ensembl:piRNA 21ur-1699 ncRNA
UCGUCAGCUUCUAUAAAUAAA